UCGCGUGAGGGAUGAAGGUUCUAUGGAUCGUAAACCUCUUUUAUAAGGGAAUAAAGUGUGGGACGUGUCCUAUUUUGUAUGUACCUUAUGAAUAAGGAUCGGCUAACUCCGUGCCAGCAGCCGCGGUAAUACGGAGGAUCCGAGCGUUAUCCGGAUUUAUUGGGUUUAAAGGGUGCGUAGGCGGCCUUUUAAGUCAGCGGUGAAAGUCUGUGGCUCAACCAUAGAAUUGCCGUUGAAACUGGGGGGCUUGAGUAUGUUUGAGGCAGGCGGAAUGCGUGGUGUAGCGGUGAAAUGCUUAGAUAUCACGCAGAACCCCGAUUGCGAAGGCAGCCUGCCAAGCCAUGACUGACGCUGAUGCACGAAAGCGUGGGGAUCAAACAGGAUUAGAUACCCUGGUAGUCCACGCAGUAAACGAUGAUCACUAGCUGUUUGCGAUACAGUGUAA
rnacentral:rRNA from 1 species